rnacentral:lncRNA from 1 species
CAUUAUACUCAUCUCACUUAAAUCCAUUUUUUCCUAUUGGAGUGUAAAUCCUAAGGUGGCACAGAUCACGUCUAUUUUGUUUACAUUUUAUUGAAAGGUUCUAGUACAAUGGGUGGUUCAGAAUAAGAGUUAAAUAUAUUAUGUAUUCAUGAGAAGAUCAAGGUCAAAAUGGCGAUUGCUGUGAAAGCCAGGGAAAAUGAAUCUGGAUGUCAGUUUUACACAAUGGGAAAACCGUUUGUGCUUCCAUGAGGUUGGAAAAGACACAGGGACUGGUUCACUUUAGGGAGUAUUAUGUAUGUAGCACCAGCAUCCUAAGUGACCUUGCCAGCCACUCUUAUCACUUGAAACAGCAAUGAUCUGAACAGCUUCUGAGGUGUUUACCUCGCCAAUCUGGGAGACCUUGGGGCAAACUGUGGCUCAUGAUAAUGGAAGGGAUAUGGCAGUGCCUGCACUGACAUCAAGACCUUAAAAGAUACUACAAAAGAUACAUCAAAACUGGGCCAAAGCAUGAGGACCUAUGCUCAUGGGAAGGGCCAGACAGAUUUUCAAAUAUUAUAACAAAGUAAGAGCACUGUUUCCAGGCAAGGGCUCGACAGCCAAAAAAAAAUGAUAAAAGAAGCCUUUAAAAUAGGAUUUGAGAACUAUGGAUCACCUAGAAGAGAGUACACAGAAAUAUGCACAUGGCUCCUGCUCCUGUGCCCUAGAGUCAGGAUGGACCCGUUAAACUUCACACUCAAUUACAGCCAUUUCAUGUAGGAAGUGGGACCCAGACCAUAACAUCUUCUUGGUGAUAGGAGAGGAGAGUAUGUUUCUUGAUGUAAACUAUUGUAUUCGGAGUGGAUAAAUGAUGAGAUCCUACUGUAUAGCAGAGGGAACUGUAUCUAAUCACUUGUAAUGUAACAUGAUAAAGGAUCAUGUGAAAAAAGAAUGUAUAUAUAACUGGGUCACUUUGCUGUACAGAAGAAACUGAUAGAACAUUGUAAAUCAACUGUAAUAAAACAUUUUUAAAAAAGAGAAUUUCAUAAUUGGAGGCUAAUACAUUUGGUAUCUUCUCUGGUCUGCUGCAUGGCAUUCAUUCACUGGACAAUAAUUUGUUCAGUGCCUUCUAUGUUAUAUGGAAGUGCUAGAGAUGGAAGGGGGAGGUCAGUUUCAUGGAAAGGUCACUGGGACAUGUGAGCAAGAGAAGCCCAGCUUGGUCCUAAGCCAUGGGCAAGAUGUGUUCAAAGAAGGUUUGGACAACAUGGGGCUUUUUUGAUAGGAAUUCUUUGCUUUUGAGCUUUUCCCUUUGGACUGGCAGAAGCUCUGUUUGAUUGGUGGACAGUCUGACAUGUCCCCUUGCCCUCUCUUUUAUCCACACUUUCCUUCCACAGGUGUUACUCCAAAGAACCGCUUAUAUUCCCAACCCCAUCUCAUCCUCUGCUUCCCAGAGAACCCAAUCUACAACGGGGCACUGUAGUCAAAGAGGAAAUGGCUCUAUGUGGUAUCCAUUUAGGAACCCCAACAAAUGAAAAUGACCUAAAAAGACAGAGGAAGCAACAGCAUCCAUCUAGAGAAACCUGACUGGACUCAUUCAUGAGCACAAGGGAAAAGCAGCCCACCCCAAAAAUGGGAUCUCUGAAAAAUAAGUAAAAUUCAUCAGGGAUUAGGAAACCUGAAAUAACAAGCCUGAGAAAUUACCUAGUGCCUUUUUUCUAUUAAUGAGACUCUAUCGGUCCAUUCCCAAAUGGAACAGCCAGCCUGGUAAAGUGCAGGUAAUUAUAAUGCCAUAAGAUAAGUGCUCUACUGGAAGUAUAAAUCAGUUUAUUUUACAAUGGAAAAGGUAAGUCAUUGCAUUAAUAGAAGAGCCAGAGAAAGCUUCACAAAGGAGGCGCUAUUUGAGCUGGAUCUUGAAUACUGAGUAGAAAUUGGACAAGCAAACAAUUUACUGGGAGAAUUUGAUGGGUGAGGGAUAGACUGGAACAGGCUCUAAGAUAUGAUUAGUGACUCAGUCACCACUCAUUUCAGUGAAACAUUGACACAUUCCCCAACUUUCCCUUAGCAUCAAGAAGUUGUGAAACAACUCCAGCUGGAGUUUGGGGUGUGUGUGUGGCAGGUUCAAAAACAUGGCAAAGGACAAUUAAGCUACUGCUUAUGGAGCCCCAUGGUUGGUUACAUGGUCAUCAGACUUGUUGUUUUGACUUUGCUGUAAUGCAAAACACUGUAAGCCGGGAAUUUGAGAAAGUGUGUUCUAGUGUUCGGUCUAAGUCUGUCUCUCCACCUAUAAAAUUGAGUUAAUAAUCCAGGCUUCCCUUAAUGAAGUUUUGUGAGAAUCUACUAAGGUAAAAGACAGGAAAAUGCUUUGAAAUUUUUUUAUUUUUGUCUUUUGUUUUUUCAGGGUUGCACUCGCGGAAUAUGGAGGUUCCCAGGUCCAAUCAGAGCUACAGCUGCUGGCCUACACCACAGCCACAGCAAUGCCAGAUCUGAGCCACAUCUGCGACCUACACCACAGCUCACGGCAAUGCCAGAUCCUUAACCCAUUAAGGGAGGCCAGGGAUCAAACCCACAACCUCAUGGUUCCUAGUUGGAUUCGUUUCCACUCCACCAUGACGGGAACUCCCUGCUUUGACAAUUAUUAAAACACUAUGUGGCAUUUAUUCUGACACCCACUCAGGAAAGCCGUACCCAGUGACCACUCCUCAUUCACUAUCCCCAAGUCUAGAGCAGGUCAUUACACAGAAAGUCUCAACUCCUUAAAGUUUUUGAUCAUAGUACCUACUGCUGAGAAUUAUAAGUCAUGAGAUGAUUUCAUCAGCAGUGGUCUCUCCCAGAAAGUCUACUGGGACGAUGAUCACAGCCAAUGCAUUCCUUUGUCCCUACCACCAAACCACGUAUGAAUAAAUAUUUAAUUGAUAGAUAGCUUACAUAUAACUUCCUGGUACAGCCUUUUGAAUGUGGCAGGAAAGCAAUAAUUCAUUUUACAUGAAAUGAACCUGAAAAUACCUGGCUUUGCUUACACAUGUGCGAUAAAUAAUUACCGCUAUGGUUUUAACUAUUAAACAUUUUUAAAAACUUUUCUACCCCCCUUGGAUAUUAAAGCAGUGGCACUGGGUAGAGGAGCUAUCUUAGGCUUGAGUCUUAAUAGACUUGUUUGUAUUUGAGUCUAGAUAUGAGUGUUGUGGCCAGUAAGAAUUGCUGGAUUCUCUGAGCAUCAGUUUUUUCAACUGUAGAAUUGAAAUAAUGUUUUAUAAAUGUUAAAUAAGGUAAAGUAUGUAAAGGAUAUUGUAUAUAAAGGAUAUGGUAUAGCAUUCGCUCAUGGUAGAUUCUCAACAAAUAUCAGCUUCCUUUUCUUCUGUGAUCUCCAUUCUCCUUUGACUGACAUGUCAGGUUUUCCAAACUUCUCUCCAAAGGUGAGAAAGUAAUUAAGCUGUUCUUCUCUACAGUUUGGUCUCUGGCUUUGUCUCAAAUGGUGCUCUGCCAGGUCACCUCUCUAACCUCAAUCUUUUGCGUGGGAGGAUGGAAAGAAUAGACUGGGAAUCUACCUAGGUUCCAGUUCAGAGCCUGGCCCUGACCAGCUGUGCAUCCUUAUGCAGACCAUUGACCAUUUACUUCUUCGUCCCCUGUUCUUGGACACUCUGACACUAUGCUCAGCACUUGGAAAUACAUUAGAGGCAAAAACAGACAAACCCCCUGCACGCAUGGAGCUUACAAAUGUGUGGUCAGCAGGAAACACAGACCCUCCAUCCAAAAAAAAACAACAUAACAAGGUGAAUUUUGUAGUACAUUGGGGGAUAAUGAGUGCUAUGGAACAAAUGAAAAGUUGAGCUGUGUUAGGGAGUGCCAGGAUACGGGGAAGGCAGGAUCCAGCUUAAGCAGGCUCAUGGAGUACGGGAUAUUUGAGCAAAGACUUCAAAGAAGUGGGAGGCCAUCCAGUGGAUAUUUGGGUGAAGACCAUCAAGGCCAAGGGAACACCUAGGUUAAGACCUCGAGGGGAUGUGUCUGAGAAACGCAAGGAGGCCAGCAUAGCUAUUUCGGAGGAAGCAAAGAAGAGAGAAAGCAGAUUUAAGGAUAGGGCAGUGAGUAUUGCAGACCCUUAAAAUUUUGGCCCUUAAUUUGAGUGAAAUGGCUUUGUUGGCCUUACGAUACAUGCAGAAAAGAAAUUCAUACUAGAUUCUGUCUGAGAUCCCUUCCAGCUCUUACAUUCAAGGGUUUCCUUGCCCCUUGGGUACUGAAAGCCAUGAUCAACAGGAAUAGGCAAAUCUUGGGAAGCUGUACAAGUGUAUAUAAACUGUAUUCUAAUAGACAGGCACACGCAAGAUUUGUAUGUGUAAUUUUACCGCUUAUCUAAAACUAUGAGAGCAACCGUAGGACAACAGAACCGUCAUCUAGCUAGCACUGUCUGUGUAUGGACAGCUGAGUUGUUGAAUCCCACACUUCCACUGGAGCUGGGCAGGUGCUACACUUGCCUCACCUCAAUUUUCUUAUCUGUAAAGUGGAGAUACCCCGGUUCCCAUCUCACCGAUUUAUAUUGAGGAUUAAGAAGAUGAUGUGCCAGAGUUCCUGUUGUGGUGCAGCAGACAUGAAUCCAGCAAGUAUCCAUGAGGAUGCGGGUUUGAUCCCUGGCCUCGAUCAGUGGGUCAGGAUACCAGAGUUGUUGUGAGUUAUGGUGUAGGUUGCAGAUGGGACUUGGAUCCCACAUUGCUGUAGCUGUGGCAUAGGAUGGCAGCUGCAGCUCCAAUUAUACCCCUAGCCUAGGAAC